AGUGUUGAAAACAUGAAGCUGCUAUGUACUAAGUCAGAAAACUUUGCCAUUUGGAAACCUUGAACUGGAGAUUACACACAUUGCCUGGGUGAAUUGUAAUAAUCUAAAGACGGAAUCCACAUAUAAGAGAAUAACUUUAAUUAGUUCGUUUAAAAGGCCAGUCCUUUGAUUAUGUAAAGGCUGUAGUUCCCAUGCCCAUUUACUUUAUGGUAACUCCCGUUGAACUCUUGCCACUCAAUUUGGAUGUAACUCUUAACUAUAGCACAGUGUAUGUACACAAACCUUAGUUUCAAAAACUUCCUCCCCACCACCAAGACCACAGCACAGUCAUAAGGAGGAGAUGGCACACUUUCAUGUUUGUUUUUAUUUCUGUUUACAACCGACUGCAGUUUACCAUUUACAUCCAAACCCAGACAAACUGUAGUUAGCCUCAGCUAUGGUUUAGGGAGGAUGCCAACCUUGUAAACCAUGGUUUGAAGUUGGCUUUUUCCUUUAACCACAGUUAAGAGUAACCACAGUUUGUCCGAGUCUAUAUGUUACGGUAAACUGCAGCUGAUUGGAAUGAUUAGCAAAACACCCCAAAUUCCUUGUUGCAGCUGUCUCGGUGCCUCAGGUUACUUAAAAAGAAUCAAUUGAUUUAAUUUAAGAACAUCUGUAAGCAGUGUGCGACAGUGACAAUUUUAAGGUAAAGCAGUAAACAUUGCAAUGUACUUCAAACUGAAGCACUUAUUUUGCUCUCAUUGCUUUUAGUGCCUAUUACUUCCAAGUGUAAAAUACAUCAGCUUAAUUAUAUUGUGGAGUGCGCUGCCAAAAGGGCAUGCGUAAAUUGAGAAGUAUUGCAGGAGGGAUGAUUGUGACAAUGAGCCUCUUGGAAAAUGCUAUAGACAUGAAUUCACGAUCGAUCAGGAUACUUUUAUCCUUGAGGAAAAUGUUGAUGGGCUGACGGUGCCAACUUCAUUAAUCCUUUUAGGUAUUUAAAAUGUUCUAUAUUAGAGCUGCUCUGAUACAGAAGUUCAACCAUUUCUUCUUCUUGGCAAGUUAAAAUUCAGCAGCAGUUCUUAUCCUUGGCUUUUCUCUCCAUGGUAGAGAAACAGUACUGCCAAUCAGUUGGCACUCCAUUCCUAAAUACUCUGCCAAAUGAGUCAGGAUACACUUGGACUUCCAUUGAAAAGGGGUCUUCAGUGAUUUACCUCCAUUUGGCACAUUUUCCAACAGUGAAGUUGGAAAACAACUAGCUUUGGGGAGUUUUGGAUUUCAAAACUUAUUGGGGUGGGGGAAAUGUGGAACACCUGAUUUCACCAAAGGGUGUUCCGUCUCUCAUUACUUUUAUAUGACUGUUUAAAGGCCGCCAAUCAAAGCUGAACCCUCUUAGCCUGGGGGAGAAACUAACAUUGGUCCCAUAUGUUUGUUCAAAACAGGAUAGGUGUUUCUUUGAACGCUAUAUUCAAACACUCUCCACUUUCUUGGUACAGUGAACAUAGAAUACAGAACAGUCUUCUUUGUGUGCAAAAGUAAUGCACUUUCUUUCCAUAAAAAAACCAACCCAUGAAUUGUAAAGGGUCAUGGAGAACACAAAGGAACACACUCGAUUUAGGAGCACUGCUCCUGUCAAGUUUAAACUGCAUAGUAGCACUCCAUUCCCUCAAACAAGUAAGAAUGAUUUUUUUUAUUUUCAUUUAAAAGAAGCAAGAGUUACUGCACAGUGUGAUUGACUUAUGAACUGCAGAGAAAUCUCGGGAGCUAAGCAGUGGGGCAUCUUGAUAGUGGAUGGAAGCUUAAAAUCUUGGUUUGGAUUUUGCUAAAGCAAAACGAGCCAUAUAAGAUGGAGAACAUGCCAAAACAAUAGAGAUCUCUUGUUGAUUAACUAGAGGUGUGAUACAUAAGGAAAUCCAUUUGUGUUAAAAGAGUUUUUUCUGGAGUUUGUACUUAAAAGUACCAGUAGUUUUUUAAAAAUUAUAUAAGGCUGUAUUUCUAUGCCACACACUUAACAUGCAUCACGGAAACAUCUAAAUAUUUUUGGAUGUUUGGAUAAGAAAUGUUGCGUCAUCCAUGAGGUUGUUUUUGCAAUCUACCCUAAUAUUUUGGAUUUCUAGGCGGUCGCGUAAGAUUUUAGGAGGCUAGGCACUUAGGAGGUUUGCGUUUUGGUUCUUACUGGUUUAUCAGCUCACUUGUUACAAAGUGAAUCACCACGAUGUUUGAAUAAGUGAAACGUAAGAGAAUACUUCUUUUUCUGGAAAAAGUUUGCUUUUAUGCUUCCCCUUUCCUAAGGGGGGGGGGAACACUUCACUUUUGCAAAUGGAUAGGAUCAUUCCUCAUGGUGGAAGAAGAACAAGUACUAAACCUACUUUUCACUCCCAUGACUAGACUGAGCUUAACUCUUAUGUGAAUGCAUUUCUGUGUGAAGUAUGAAUGACAACUGUUUUGGCUUACAAUGAUGAUAUUUUGAGAAAUUGCGUUAUUGUAUUUUUUUUUUGUAAUAAUAAUAAUAAUAAUAAUGUGUGUGUGUGUGUGUGUGUGUGUGUGUGUGUAAAAAUACCAGGCUGUGAAUAAAAAGCUCUGCCAUUAAUAGGGACAAUCAAUCCUUCACAUUGAAGUGUGGUGUGACUUUGCUUUCCACUGCAUUUCAUCCACAGAAACCAGUUCUUCUUUAGUGUCUCAUGACUUAAAUUAUGGACAAUGCCAGAUAGUUAAAUAGUUUUGGCUACUUCCCACAGGUACAGAGCAAUGAUAACAUUCACCAGAACUAGAUACGGCCUGCAGGAAUGGGGGGCUCUGUUUAAUUCACAGGAUUUUUCAGUGAAAUGGACCAGACAUGGGAUCUUUGAGUAAGAUAGUUUUAACAUGUUACACAAGCCUGUUGCCCUGUGAUUUUGGAGUGGCUCGAAAGCAAAUGGAGAGCUCCUUUUCCCGUUGAGACAAAUGAAGCGUUCUGGUUGGUUAGAUAAGAGCUACGUCUGAGCAAAAAUGGCUUGCUGCCAUUGAAUGGGAAGUUGCUUCACUACUUCAUUUCAAACUGAGCUGGGAAGGAAGCUGAAAAUUUAAAAAUGUCUGCCAUUAGCUUUUCUGUGGCCUGAAGGAAGACUUAAGCAGAAGAUGAGGCAUCAGACCUGUUUCUUAGCUGGCCAGCUCAGUAGUUCGCAUGCCCAGAGAUUUAAACUCCUGAGCAGCCACCUGCAGGUUGCAAUGGGUACAAGCAAAUUUAGUUCCUGUUGAAUGAAUGAAUGAACUUUAUUACGGUCACAGACCAGGAUUAAACAACAACAUAUAAAUAAAAUAGCAGGAUUUUUUUUUUUAACUGAUAAAUGUUGGAGCAAAUAAGGGCAAAGAAACAAGCAUAGGAUAAAACAUCUGACUAAAAUACAAGAUUAAACACAGAUCAGAUAAUGGAUGGAUAAAAACUGAUAAAACAGAUAAGAACUAAAAACAUGCAGUUAAAACAACUAUAAGAGGCUGCAGAGUAGAGUUCCUGUUAGAAACUAGAUCUGUGACAUCAUCAACUGCC